CGUGUGAGAAAUGGAGACAGAGGGAUUGGAGAGAUGAAGAUGGGGGAUCCGUGGUCUCUGAAGCCCCCAAUGCUUGUGUGAGGGAAGACCAUCAUAUUGGACUAGAACCUACCCUAAUAAUCCCAAUGAAACUUAAUGACUUCUUUGAAGGCCCUAUCUCCAUAUAAAGUCAUAUUCUAAGGUUUGCUUUUUCCAGUGAAGCUUUCUACCAGAAAAAAGGCAAAGAAGAUGGUUUUUCUGAUAAAGUCCCAUGAGAAUGCUCUGAUGAC